rnacentral:rRNA from 1 species
AUUGAACGCUGGCGGCAGGCCUAACACAUGCAAGUCGAACGGUAACAGGAAACAGCUUGCUGUUUCGCUGACGAGUGGCGGACGGGUGAGUAAUGUCUGGGAAACUGCCUGAUGGAGGGGGAUAACUACUGGAAACGGUAGCUAAUACCGCAUAACGUCGCAAGACCAAAGAGGGGGACUCUCGGGCCUCUUGCCAUCGGCUGUGCCCAGAUGGGGUUCGCUUGUUGGUGGGGUAACGGCUCACCAAGGCGACGAUCCCUAGCUGGUCUGAGAGGAGGACCGGCCCCCCGGAAACGGGGAACGGGCCCGACUCCCACGGGAGGGCGCAGGUGGGAAAUUUUGGAAAUGGGCGGAAGCCUUACGGAGCCAAGGCGGGUGUGUUAAAAAGGUCUUUGGGUUGUUAAAGUCUUUUACGGGGGGAGAAAGGGAGUAAAAUUAACACCUUUCCUCAUUGCGGUUCCCAACAAGAAAGCCACGGCUAACUCCGUG